AGAAGAAAAUGGGAAUUUAAAAAUGAAACCUUCCAUUUUACAGAAUUGAUAUAGACCACACAGUAAACUUAGGGGACAACAGGAGAAGCUUAAGGAACAGAAAUCCAUGGAGGCUUACUAAAUGCUUAGAAGUAUUAGAAGACACUUGUGGCUCAGAAAUGCCCCGAGCUGAAAAAGGAUAGAAGAUUUUCAACCUUAACAUAUGCCUUAGCUGCUAUAGCACAGAAGCCGACUAAAUUCUUCUAUGGAUUGUGCCUUGGAUCAGCAGAAAAGCAACGAGAGAAAUAUUACACUGGGCAAUCUGAAGUAUCUCAGAGAAAAGGCUGACUUUUCUUUUCAAAUGUAUGGAAAGGCAAAA